UACCAGCACCCCGAGUGGUCGGGACGUUUAUUGGCCUAAAGCAUCCGUAGCCGGUUCUACAAGUCUUCCGUUAAAUCCAACUGCUUAACAGGUGGGCUGCGGAAGAUACUAUAGAGCUAGGAGGCGGGAGAGGCAAGCGGUACUCGAUGGGUAGGGGUAAAAUCGUUGAUCCAUUGAAGACCACCAGUGGCGAAGGCGGCUUGCCAGAACGCGCUCGACGGUGAGGGAUGAAAGCUGGGGA
rnacentral:rRNA from 1 species